rnacentral:rRNA from 1 species
GACGAACGCUGGCGGCGUGCCUAAUACAUGCAAGUAGAACGCUGAAGAGAGGAGCUUGCUCUUCUUGGAUGAGUUGCGAACGGGUGAGUAACGCGUAGGUAACCUGCCUGGUAGCGGGGGAUAACUAUUGGAAACGAUAGCUAAUACCGCAUAAAAUUAAUUAUUGCAUGAUAAUUAAUUGAAAGAUGCAAUUGCAUCACUACCAGAUGGACCUGCGUUGUAUUAGCUAGUUGGUGAGGUAACGGCUCACCAAGGCGACGAUACAUAGCCGACCUGAGAGGGUGAUCGGCCACACUGGGACUGAGACACGGCCCAGACUCCUACGGGAGGCAGCAGUAGGGAAUCUUCGGCAAUGGGGGGAACCCUGACCGAGCAACGCCGCGUGAGUGAAGAAGGUUUUCGGAUCGUAAAGCUCUGUUGUAAGAGAAGAACGGGUGUGAGAGUGGAAAGUUCACACUGUGACGGUAUCUUACCAGAAAGGGACGGCUAACUACGUGCCAGCAGCCGCGGUAAUACGUAGGUCCCGAGCGUUGUCCGGAUUUAUUGGGCGUAAAGCGAGCGCAGGCGGUUAGAUAAGUCUGAAGUUAAAGGCUGUGGCUUAACCAUAGUAUGCUUUGGAAACUGUUUAACUUGAGUGCAGAAGGGGAGAGUGGAAUUCCAUGUGUAGCGGUGAAAUGCGUAUAUAUAUGGAUGAACACCGGUGGCGAAGCGGCUCUCUGGUCUGGAACUGACUCUGAGGCUCGAAGCGUGUGGAGCAAACAGGAUUAUAUACCCUGGUUGUCCAAGGGCUAAUUCCACCGUGGAUUGCAAUCGUAUGCGUUCCGUCGAACUCCGAGGGGGGUCCAAAAACCUAUCUUUUGUCUCUUUAGUGAGUUAUCUUAUGAUCUUGCUUGUGUCUUUCCCCUCCUUACUUUAUGCUAGUGAUGUGUGUGUAGUGUCUCUGUGUUUUGUGUGUUACUGUGUGUUGUGAGGUUGCCUGCUGCUUAUGUUUGCUGUAUUUCUGUUGCACUGUAUGGCUGUUAGUUCAUAGCAUAUGCUGAUGCCUGUAUGUUGAUGCUAGUGUGAUCUUAUUAUUGCUACUUGUGCUAGAUAG